UACGAAGGGGCUAGCGUUGCUCGGAAUCACUGGGCGUAAAGGGUGCGUAGGCGGGUUUUUAAGUCAGGGUGAAAUCCUGGAGCUCAACUCCAGAACUGCCUUUGAUACUGAAGAUCUCGAGUCCGGGAGAGGUGAGUGGAACUGCGAGUGUAGAGGUGAAAUUCGUAGAUAUUCGCAAGAACACCAGUGGCGAAGGCGGCUCACUGGCCCGGUACUGACGCUGAGGCACGAAAGCGUGGGAGCAAACAGG
rnacentral:rRNA from 1 species